rnacentral:rRNA from 1 species
UACGUAGGGUGCGAGCGUUGUCCGGAAUUACUGGGCGUAAAGAGCUCGUAGGUGGUUUGUCGCGUUGUCCGUGAAAACUCACAACUCAAUUGUGGGCGUGCGGGCGAUACGGGCAGACUGGAGUACUGCAGGGGAGACUGGAAUUCCUGGUGUAGCGGUGGAAUGCGCAGAUAUCAGGAGGAACACCGGUGGCGAAGGCGGAUCUCUGGGCCUUACCUGACGCUCAGGCGCGAAAGCUAGGGGAGCGAACUGG